AGCUUUGCGCAGUGGCAGUAUCGUAGCCAAUGAGAUUUAUCCGAGGCGCGAUUAUUGCUAAUUGAAAACAUAUUAUAAAAAUAAAGGUCUUAAGAAUAUUGAUCACAGAAUUACCAAGACAGUGAUAACGUGUUCACU
ensembl:snRNA U4 U4 spliceosomal RNA